UUGACCAAUCUCUCAUGGUCAACCUGACCUUUUAUUGGAAUUUUAUUUCCCAUUUUUAAUUUAUUUUGGAUUUAUUUUUGGCCUAGUUUGCUCGGUUGACUCUACAUUUGACUUCUGUUUUUAUUUCAAUUAAUUCAAUAACCAAUUUUUAUUAUUUUUGAAAACCUUUUUGGGGGAUGAUGAUGUCCUGACCCCACCUAACUUAAUUUAAUUUUUCAUCAUUUUUGUGAUUAAUUUACUAUUUAUUUGACAUUUUUUAAGUUGACUUGACUUCUCGGUUGACUUUUGUAUGAUUGAUGUUUGACUUAGGGAUUUCUUAAGGCAAUUGAAGAGAUCUUUUGAUCCUCCCUUGUCCAUCUCAUAUGCCAUGUAUUGGAGGCCUUUCACCUCAAUUUUGUUUGAUCCUUGCAUCAUUUCCCGAUUAAAUUAUUCAUUGAUUCUUUGUGUGCAUAGUUUCGCUUGUCUGUUUAAUUUGAUAUUUUUUAUACUUGUUUCUUUCAUCCAUGUUUCUAUUUGUUAGAUUGAUUAACAUGUUUAUACUUCUCAUACAUUAUUUAAUGCUAAUUCAUUUCAUUCUUUGAUUAUUUGAUUUGAUUAUAUACUUGUUUAUAUCUUACUUGUUUGAUUAACUGUGGCCUACUUGUAUGGUGUAUGAGGCAUAUACUUAUAUUGCUUGAUUGCCAUGUCAACCCCCAUUCAUAACAAAUGUAUCCCUCUCCCAUGAAAUGUAUAACAUUUAUUCUUUCAUUCUUUAUUCAUCUGUUAAUACAAGAAUUAAAAUGAACAUUCGAUAACCAUUUCAAAGCAAGAUCAAAACCUCGAUCCAACGUCGAGUAAUCAUUUUUCAAAACCUAACAGAACCAGCACGUAUUCAUCCACCCUUUUGUAAGUCGAUUGCUUUAUGCAUCGCCAUCAACCUUGUAAGUCGAUUGCUUUAUGCAUCGCCAUCAACCUUGUAAGUCGAUUGCUUUAUGCAUCGCCAUCAACCUUGUAAGUCGAUUGCUUCAUGCAUCGCCAUCUAUCCUUAUCCCUAGCACCUCUCUUUGCUCCGUUCGUCGAUUCUUGUUCCGUUUAGGUAGCACCCAUUAGAUAGAACCCUUUGUAUGAUAACAUAGGUAGGAUUCCCAUAUCCUUUUGUAUGAUAACAUAGGUAGGAUUCCCAUAUCCUUUUGUAUGAUAACAUAGGUAGGAUUCCCAUAUCCUUUUGUAUGAUAACAUAGGUAGGAUUCCCAUAUUCUUUUGUAUGAUAACAUAGGUAGAAUUCCCUUAUUAUUUUGCAUGCUAACAUUAGGUAGAUAUCCCCAUUUGUAAAUCCUAACACUUAAGUACAUAUUGCAUGGCAACUUUAAGGCAGAGUUUCCCCAUUCUUUUAGACCUUCCGUGCGUCUCCGACCCUGUGGCAUGUCAAUCCGUCCUAUUGCAAAGAGGUAACCGCCUAAGACUCGAUUCAGCGAGCUGCGACACCUGCUGCUAGGGCGUGAACACAUUGUCCACUCUCCUUUGACACAACUGGUGUCCUCCUUUGUAAGUCCAUGUUCAGAUGGCAAUCCCUAUGUAGCCGAACUACGGCAACUCUGAUUCUCAUGUUCAGAUGAGAUACGUAGGCACAGGAUGCGAUGUCUUGCCGAGUUUGACUAACAACUAAUCCUUGUUUGCUUUCGCCCUCGUUGCGAUUCUUUUCUCUCGCCCCCGUUGCGAUUGAAACCUUUCCCUUUCUCUUGCCCUAGUUGCAAUCGAGACCUUUGUUCCCGUAGUUAGCUGAACUACGUUUUGCUCUGAUUCUCAUUCCAGAUGAGAUACGUAGGCAUAAGACGCGAUGUCUUAGCGAGCACACGUCUCCUUCACCCAUAGGUAGCCGAGCUACGAAGACUCUGAUUCUCAUAUUCAGAUGAGAUACGUAUGUAGUGGAUGCGACAUCCGUGCGAGUCAUUUUCUUUUGACCUUUUCUUUUAGUAAAUAGUACAUUAGAUAAACACACACCCUUUAGACAAGAACAACAAGAGUGGAUCCCGUAGAGUACUACGGAUGCGUAGGGGUGCUAAUACCUUCCCUUUGCAUUAUCGACUCUUGAACCUAAGAUUUGGUUGCGAGACCUUGUCUUUUCCUUUCCUCUCUUCAGGUUUACUUCGAGCGUUUCCUUUCCUUCCUUUGGGAUAAAUAACGCACGGUGGCGACUCUUCUGUCAUCCUUUUCUUUCGCCGGUUGUUUUUUUCGCACACUGUAUUUUUCAGGUUGCGACAGCUGGCGACUCCACUGGGGAACCGGUUUCCCUAAGCGAGUCCCUCCUAGCUUUUGUAGAUUUCUUGUUUGUUGGGUGUUUAUGCUUUUGUACAGUCGUUUAUUUUCUGCAUUUACCUGCUUUAUCUUAUUGCGUUCAUGUACAUAUGUUUGCUGUAUCUGUGGGUUCCGUGGGUUGUUUGUUUGUUGGGGUGGGAUGUUUUAUGAGAGAUAAGCCCACUACCCAGGCUUGAGCGUACAUAUAGGUUUUAGAGUGGAUAGUCAUGAGGCUUGCGUGGCAUGUUGCUGCGUUAAGUCGUUCAUGAAGACCCACAUCCAGACGAGGUUUCUUUGGAUAUGUUUUGUCCUAUGGGUGUUCCAUAACGACAAACGUUCCUUUAGAAAUCGUCGACUUUGGUGACCAUUUCCCGAGAACUCAGUCGAGGCCUCUCCUCCGAGACGCGUUUAUGUUAGCUCUGGUGGGCGCAUUCUCGCUACUCAAUCCGAGGACCCCGAGACUGGGAACUUGCUUUAGGAUAUCCUGUUGAGGGGAGUCUGUAACACCCCGAUAAAAUAAGAUAAUUAUUUAAUUUAAGUUAAUAAUAUAUUUAUUAAUUUAAUUAAAUAAUUGGAAUAUUUUUAUUGGAAUUAUUAUUAUUGGAUUAUUUUAUUAUUAUUAUUAUUGGAAUAAAAGUUGGAAUUAGAAAAGGUCCCAUUUGGUAAAAGGGUUAUUUUCACGUGAAAAGGAAAAGGAGACAGAAAAGUGGAAAAGGGCAAAGAGAACCAGAGAACAAGGGUUGGAGAGAGGAAGAGCUUGAAGCUUAAAGAUUCGCCGGAUCAACUCAGGUAACGAGCAGUGAUUGAGUAGAAGCUAGUCCUUGGAGUCUAGUGUAGUUCCUUAGUGGGUCAUGCUCUGGUAGAUGUAACAUCGGGAUGGGAUGUUUUACUAUGUUUUCAUUUGGUUGUUGAACAACUUUACAUGUAAUGUAUUACACGGUUUGAA